AACGAACGCUGGCGGCAUGCCUAACACAUGCAAGUCGAACGAGACCUUCGGGUCUAGUGGCGCACGGGUGCGUAACGCGUGGGAACCUGCCCUUAGGCUCGGAAUAACACUCCGUAAGGGGUGCUAAUACCGGAUAAUGUCCUCGGACCAAAGAUUUAUCGCCUUUGGAGGGGCACGCGUUGGAUUAGCUAGUUGGGAGGGUAAAAGCCUACCAAGGCGACGAUCCAUAGCUGGUCUGAGAGGAUGGUCAGCCACACUGGGUCUGAGACACGGCCCAGACUCCUACGGGAAGCAGCAGUGGGGGAUAUUGGACAAUGGGCGAAAGCCUGAUCCAGCAAUGCCGCGUGAGUGAUGAAGGCCGUAGAGUUGUAAAGCUCUUUUACCCGGGAUGAUAAUGACGGUACCGGGAGAAUAAGCUCCGGCUAACUCCGUG
rnacentral:rRNA from 1 species